rnacentral:rRNA from 1 species
CCUACGGGGGGCUGCAGUGGGGAAUAUUGGACAAUGGGGGCAACCCUGAUCCAGCCAUGCCGCGUGUGUGAAGAAGGCCCUCGGGUUGUAAAGCACUUUCAGUGAGGAAGAACGCCUGGUGGUUAAUACCCAUCAGGAAAGACAUCACUCACAGAAGAAGCACCGGCUAACUCCGUGCCAGCAGCCGCGGUAAUACGGAGGGUGCGAGCGUUAAUCGGAAUUACUGGGCGUAAAGCGCGCGUAGGUGGCUUGAUAAGCCGGUUGUGAAAGCCCCGGGCUCAACCUGGGAACGGCAUCCGGAACUGUCAAGCUAGAGUGCAGGAGAGGAAGGUAGAAUUCCCGGUGUAGCGGUGAAAGGCGUAGAGAUCGGGAGGAAUACCAGUGGCGAAGGCGGCCUUCUGGACUGACACUGACACUGAGGUGCGAAAGCGUGGGUAGCAAACAGGAUUAGAUACCCGAGUAGUC